CUCCUCCAUCUCUCCCUCCCUCUCCCUCUAACAGCGUAUGCAUCUCCCUCUCCCUCAAAUAGCCCACACAUCUCCCUCUCCCUAGGGUUUUGGUGAACCACUUACCUAGGGUUUUCUCAUUCUAGCUCGCGGCUCGAAGGAGGGGCAACCACUCUAGUUUAUUCCUCAGCUGGGAGGUAGCAACAAUGAUAUGAGAUAUGGUUGCAAUAGCAAAGAUAAUGAAUGCAACAUUGGUCCUUCCUUCUCUUGAUCACAAGUCCUUUUGGACAGAUCCGAGUGAUUUUAAGGACCCUUUUGAUUGGAAGCGCUUCAUAGAAGUCUUGAAAGAUGUUGUUGAGAUAGUGGAGUUCCUCUCACAUUUAAGUGUAAAAAUGCUACAU